rnacentral:rRNA from 1 species
UACGUAGGGGGCUAGCGUUGUCCGGAAUCAUUGGGCGUAAAGAGCGUGUAGGCGGCCAAGCAGGUCCGUUGUGAAAACUGGAGGCUUAACCUCCAGACGUCGACGGAAACCGCGUGGCUAGAGUCCGGAAGAGGAGAGUGGAAUUCCUGGUGUAGCGGUGGAAUGCGCAGAUAUCAGGAGGAACACCGGUGGCGAAGGCGGGUCUCUGGGCCGAUACUGACGCUGAGGAGCGAAAGCGUGGGGAGCGAAGCAGG